CUCUGGUGAGCAAGCUCCCUGCCCCCCCUCUCACUUCCCGGUGUCACCUUCUGAGCAGCUUGUCCCCUCUCCUCCAGGUCCUUUUACCACGCUCUUCUGCCUACCUUAGGUCCAGAAUCAUGGAGUCAGCUGACCACGGACUGAACCUCUGAAACCAUAAGCCAAAAUGAACGUUUCCUCCUGUAAGUUCUUGUCAGGUCUUUGGCCACAGUGAAGAAAAAGCUGACUGCACCCAAGAACCCUUCCCUCCAUAAGCCACCGUACACUCCCUCCCACCUGGGGAACCGUGCCCGCCACGGAGAACUCCUGCUCCCUCCUCCCAGCUGGAGCUGGAGAUGCCGUUCACCAGCUGCGCCCACUCUCCAGUGCCCAGUCCAGACUCCACUCCACUUCCCUGCACCCUCCUCAGAAAUCACCGGAACAAGCCCAAGUCCUAGGAAGUCUCCGCCCACUCCCUGGGGCGGGUAUGUCAGCAAGCGAGCGCAGUGGCCCAGCAUUUCCGGACACAGCUGUGCUCCCGUGACACUGGACCAGGGGCUUCAGCAACACAAGGGGGAUGAGGUUUGCCCAGGCUCCUUGCUGCCGUAGACCUCUGCUCAGUCACUGCAGCAUAUCGGAGGCCCCCGGAGUUUCUGCGGGUUCAAAGCUCUGUUGCUCACCAUGUGACUGGUGUGAUGUUUGUCUGUGACGGAGAGCCUGUGGGGAAGAUGUUAAUAGUUCUGUCCCUUGAGCUAGACCUGAAGUUCGGGAGUUCAGAAGUCUUGUCAGACCAAGAUCCUGUGACUAUGGUGAGGACGGUGAGAAGAGCUGCAGCCACCUCAGCCUCCUCUGUGUGCCCUGCUUCCUCCUCCACACCUCCUCGGACCUUGCACACCUCCCAUGUCCAGAAUUAUGAUCUCGGUGGGAAACAGAUGCCCACACCACCUGGUGUAUGGACCAAAAUGGGUCUAAAUGCAUUUUUCCACUCCUGGGCCUCUGUGAAGGACCUCUAGGUCCAAGGAUCCCAUGGAGAGGAAAACCAGAGAACUCAGACUUGUGGGCAUGUCACUCUCUCAGAGUUCUGUCAGUCAGAGCACAUGGUGAUGAGCCCAGGAAAUGCAGACCCUCGGCUUAGAAUGGCUACGGGAACGACGCUGAAAAGAUUCUAAAGCAAGGAAAGCGCAGAGCUGUCACACUGGCAAAGGCAGUGCUGAGGUUGGAACCCAGGGCCUCACAUGUGCUAGGCAAAUGCCUACCACUGAGCUACAACUACAGCCCCGACUUUAUGCCUUUUAAUGGUCAGGGGCCAGCUCCACCUUAAGGUAAGUCAGAAUGGACACAGUGUGAUCCUGUGCGGAGCUAAGUAGUGCUGGGUGGGAAGCCACAGCUCAGGUGCCCCAGGUCAUUCUGUCAUGGCUCUGGCUUUCUGGUGUGGCUAGUGAACAGUUCUACAGGGGGUGUGGGGCCCACCUCAAGAGUCAGCCUCACCUCUUGGCCUCAG